GGUAGAGCGUUGGACUUUUAAUCCAACGGUCAAAGGUUCAAGUCCCUCAUCGGGGU
rnacentral:tRNA from 1 species